rnacentral:rRNA from 1 species
AUUGAACGCUGGCGGCAUGCCUUACACAUGCAAGUCGAACGGUAACAGGUCUUCGGAUGCUGACGAGUGGCGAACGGGUGAGUAAUACAUCGGAACGUGCCUAGUAGUGGGGGAUAACUACUCGAAAGAGUGGCUAAUACCGCAUGAGAUCUACGGAUGAAAGCAGGGGAUCGCAAGACCUUGUGCUACUAGAGCGGCCGAUGGCAGAUGAGGUAGUUGGUGGGAUAAAAGCUUACCAAGCCGACGAUCUGUAGCUGGUCUGAGAGGACGAUCAGCCUCAAUGGGACUGAGACACGGCCCAGACUCCUACGGGAGGCAGCAGUGGGGAAUUUUGGACAAUGGGCGAAAGCCUGAUCCAGCAAUGCCGCGGGCAGGAUGAAGGCCUUCGGGUUGUAAACUGCUUUUGUACGGAACGAAAAGCCCCGGGUUAAUACCCUGGGGUCAUGACGGUACCGUAAGAAUAAGCACCGGCUAACUACGUGCCAGCCGCCGCAGUAA